rnacentral:misc_RNA from 1 species
GAAAUGCGAUAAGUAGUGUGAAUUGCAGAAUUCAGUGAAUCAUCGAAUCUUUGAACGCACAUUGCGCCCCUUGGUAUUCCAUGGGGCAUGCCUGUUCGAGCGUCAUUUGUACCCUCAAGCUCUGCUUGGUGUUGGGUGUUUGUCCCCGUCUCCGCGCGUGGACUCGCCCCAAAGUGAUUGGCAGCCGGCGUACUGGUCCCGGAGCGCAGCACAUGUCGCGCAAACGAGUGCCUUGGUACGGCGGCGUCCAUAAGCCCAUCUCUCACGCUCUUGACCUCGGAUCAGGUAGGGAUACCCGCUGAACUUAAGC